rnacentral:rRNA from 1 species
CACGUACUGUGCGAACGUUAUUCGGAAUCACUGGGCUUAAAGGGUACGUAGGCGGUUUACCAAGUCAGAUGUGAAAUGCCACAGCUCAACUGUGGCACUGCGUUUGAAACUGGUAGGCUAGAGUAUUCCAGGGGUGUGCGGAACUUAUGGUGGAGCGGUGAAAUGCGUUGAUAUCAUGAGGAACACCGGAGGCGAAGGCGGCACACUGGGGGAUAACUGACGCUGAGGUACGAAAGCCAGGGUAGCGAAC